rnacentral:tRNA from 1 species
GGUUCCAUAGUUUAGUGCUUAGCACGUCUGUUUUACAGCAGAAGGUCUUGGGUUCGUACCCCAGUGGAGCUG